rnacentral:rRNA from 1 species
UACGAAGGGUGCAAGCGUUACUCGGAAUUACUGGGCGUAAAGGGUGCGUAGGCGGUCGGCUAUGUCGGAUGUGAAAGCCUCGGGCUUAACCCGAGAAGGGCAUCCGAAACUGGCUGGCUUGAGUACGGAAGAGGGUCUCGGAAUUCCCGGUGUAGAGGUGAAAUUCGAUAGAUAUCGGGAGGAACACCAGUGGCGAAGGCGGGAGACCUGGGCCGAUACUGACGCUGAGGUGCGAAAGCGUGGGGAGCAAACAGG